UACAGAGGUCCCGAGCGUUGUUCGGAUUUAUUGGGCGUAAAGAGCUCGUAGGCGGCUUGUUGCGUCGACCGUGAAAACCCGUGGCUCAACUGCGGGCUUGCGGUCGAUACGGGCGGGCUAGAGUUCGGUAGGGGAGACUGGAAUUCCUGGUGUAGCGGUGAAAUGCGUAGAUAUCGAGAGGAACACCUGCGGCGAAGGCGGGUUGCUGGGCUGAUACUGACGCUGAGGCGCGAAAGCCAGGGGAGCGAACGGG
rnacentral:rRNA from 1 species